GUAAGUAAAAGUCGUAACAAGGUCUCCGUUGGUGAACCAGCGGAGGGAUCAUUACAGGACUCGCAAGACUCCUACAACCCUGUGAACUUAACUAUAAGCACGUUGCUUCGGCGGGUGUCUCGGAGGGGGUUCUCCCUCCCCGAGACGCUAAACCCGCCGGCAGCCUACUAUACUCUGUCUCUUUGCGUUGGCAUCUCGAGUACAAUCAAACAAGUUAAAACUUUCGACAACGGAUCUCUUGGUUCUG
rnacentral:misc_RNA from 1 species